rnacentral:lncRNA from 1 species
UCUCUUUGCAGAUUCACAUGACGCUAUUAGUUUAAAUUGAUUAUCAUCAACACCACUAAAUAUUGCGUUUAGGGCCCUCGAGUUGUAGUUUGCGAGUAGUAUUUCUCCAUCACUCCAAUCUGCUUCUGGUUUGAAUACUUCCGCUUUGUCUUCUCCUUUGAUCAUGGGAGGUGUCCAACCAGUUAUGAUGGCGCGCCAUGCUCUCUCAUCUAUGGAUUUGAUAAACAUCUUCAUUUUUGAUUUCCAGUAUGAGUAGUUGG